rnacentral:lncRNA from 1 species
AAAUUCCUAUACGACAUGCACCGUUACACAUUGCAGGUGUGACUUUCCACUGACAGAAACUUUCUGUAAUUGAUUGAGGGCCUUAAAAGUGGCCAUAUCCUUUUGUAAUUUUUUCCUAUUUCUACAAAUGCUCUACAAUCAGAUAAAAGUACAAAGACUUAUUUUCAGGGAUGUCCACUUUGGGCAUUAGUUAAACAUUUUGAGAAAUAAGCUAUAUAACCAGUAACAAGAAUGGCUAUCAUCCAAAUGCUAGAAUAAUACGCAGCCAUUAACUUUUUAAAUAUUUAAGGAUGUGGGGGCAUGAUCACGAUGUCAUGCUAAGUGCAAGACUUUGGAUGUCAAAAGGUACAUAUUGAAUAUAGCAAAACACUAAAAGAAAAAAUCCAAAAGUUUUCAGUGGGGUUAGUGAGAAUUGUGUAUAAUUUUAAUUAUCUCUUUUUAUGUGCUCAUUUUUUCCACAAUAAAAUAUAUAAAUUUAUGAUAGAAAACAAGUUAUUGAAAAUAGCCUGACCAUCUCUGUCUGAUCUCCCCACACAGACUCUGUUGGCAGCUGGUGGGGGCAGAUGUUUUUCCCAGGCGGUGGUGAAAAUAUGCUUAGCAGGAGACAUGGCUGCGUUCUCACGAAGUGGGCCUGGUACCCCAUGAGCUUCUUGAAUGUUUGUUCUGCACUCAUCCAAUCCCUCAGAGCAGCCCAGUCAGGGAAGAAGAGUUUUCAAAACCCUCAAGGAGCUGUGGCCUCUCUUGCCCACAGCCAUCUGUGUAUCUACCUCUCCGCAGGUGCGGGUCUUGCUCCCCUACCUUUUUGUGUAUUGUGGAAGAUACUGUCAAAUUAGGGGUGGCUUAGGGUUGGGUAGAUGUUUCUGUGCUCUGUCUACCAUGAUUCUGUGUCUUGGCCAAAGAUAGGCGCAGAUAGACUCCACCAAUCCCAAUGCUUCCUAGCUCUGGACUCUGUCGCAUAAACUGGAAAAAGAACUUUAAAACACGCUCAGGAGCACAAUUGGCCUUCAGAGCCGUCCCUUUUAAAGAUUUACUCUAGUGCUGUAUACAGGGGUGUGCAGGAGUCCGCGCAUGCUACUUGUGAGAACCAAUUGUGUGCAUCUCUUCCCAACUGUUGUUUAUCACAUUAGUAGCUUAAGAUUGGCCAUUGUAGGAGUUUUACACCACAGAAAUAGCCGAACGCUACAAAUCAGGGUGGCUUUUUUUUUUUUUUAUGGAGAAAAAUCUACAGCAUACCAAUGGCUAUGCUUAAAACAACAUUUUAUUGUCUCUCCCAGUUUCUGUGGGACAGGAAAUUGAGAGGGGCUUGAUUAAAUGGUCCUGGGUCUCUUAUGCAGUUACAGUCAGACAGUGUGGCUGGGGCUGGGAGAGGGGGAGGGUGAGCAGCUGGGGGUUGACUGGGAAUCUCUCACCCUUUGUUGUCACGUGGUUUCUGCAUGUAGGAUAGCUUGGGCUUCCUCACAACAUGGCAGUCAGAACAGUCAGAGUGAUUCUCAGGGCUCCAGUUAGUUUUCUGUUGCCAUGGCAGAGCUGAAUUGCUUUAUGAUCUGGCUACUGAAGUCUGACAACAUUACUUCCACUGCAUUCUAUUGAGUACAUGUGAGUCAGAAGCCCAUCCUGUUUUAAGGGGAGAGGAAUUACACUCCACCUCUCAAUGGGUGAAUGAACAGACAAAAGAUAUUGAAAGCCGACUCCAGCAAACAAUGCAGAUAACUCUGCAGGAUGACAAUGGAUCCGGAAUAGGAAAUGUUACAAUGGUAACAGCCAGCUGAGACCUGACCAGGGGCCCGGAGACAUUUCCAAGAGGAUGGAGGAGCCCUUCUCAGCUACAUCUCAGAAAUAAAUGCACAGCCUUCUAAGGGACUACUGUGAAAGACAAGGUGUUCUGGACUACAUAUUACAAAAGUGCCAUGUUUUACUAUGAAACCUGUCUCAUUGCCUUGUAGCCACAUUGCACUUUUCUUUGGUAACCAUCAAAAUAUUUUGCAUUGUAUCAGGCACAUGAUGGAAACAAAGUAAAUAUCUGAGUGACUGAUUGA